rnacentral:rRNA from 1 species
GACGAACGCUGGCGGCGUGCUUAACACAUGCAAGUCGAACGGAAAGGCCUCUUUCGGGGGGUACUCGAGUGGCGAACGGGUGAGUAACACGUGAGUAACCUGCCCUUGACUUUGGGAUAACUUCAGGAAACUGGGGCUAAUACCGGAUAGGAGCUCCUGCUGCAUGGUGGGGGUUGGAAAGUUUCGGCGGUUGGGGAUGGACUCGCGGCUUAUCAGCUUGUUGGUGGGGUAGUGGCUUACCAAGGCUUUGACGGGUAGCCGGCCUGAGAGGGUGACCGGCCACAUUGGGACUGAGGUACGGCCCAGACUCCUACGGGAGGCAGCAGUGGGGAAUAUUGCACAAUGGGUGGAAGCCUGAUGCAGCAACGCCGGGUGCGGGAGGACGGCCUUCGGGUUGUAAACCGCUUUCGCUCAUGACGAAGCUUUGUGUGACGGUAGUGGGUAAAGAAGCACCGGCUAACUACGUG